CUUUUCUUUUCUCUCUCUGCUCGCCUCUCCUCCUCUCCUCUCGCCGUCCGUCCGUCGCCGUCGACGUUUACCGUUUCCGCUAGCUCGCGGGCUGGCUGGCUGGCUGGCUGGCCCAUUAGCGCCUACGUGGGCCUUCUCUCGGCCUAUUCGAACUGAAACGACGGCACUCCGGCUCCGAGCGGAGCAUCUUCUUCUUCCCGGACUUGUCCCUGCUCGCUGUCCGCUUUCGCUGUUCCUACCACGGCGAACGCUGCCCUAAAUCUACAACGGCGGGGAAGCUCGCUCGGCAGCAGUAAAUCCCCCCUUGCCGCCCGCCAUUAUCGGAAGGAAGCGCAAAGGGGACCAAACCACCGGUCUCCUCUUCUUCCCGCUGAUAAUCAGCCAGAUGAAGAAACAGAAAAUGGCGAAUGGACCAUCACACGACAAGAACAAGGUGUUCGCCAGUUUGACUCGCAAAGAUGUUUCAGACAUUGAUCCGUCUUACAAGAUUUUCUUGGAAAAUCUAAUUGAAGAUGGAAGUGUGUAUGUGUUUCAUAUGCCAAAUGGGGACCAUGGCUUGCCUGCUUCUGUCAGGUAUGAAGAGGAUGAUAUGUCAUAUGGAGGCGUGAAUGUCAGAGACGGCACAAAUGUCCCCCAAAAAUUGCCACACACAAGUCGGGGUGGUGCAAAUGUCAAGCGACUAGAUCAAACAUCAGGCGCUGUCGAUGUAAAUGCGGGCCAUUCCUUUCUACCAAGGACAUUGUCUGUGAAGAAGAACACCUCAGAGGUUGAUGAAUCUUAUGCAGAAUUUCUGAGCCUCAUGAAGAUCAAGGAUGGUUUCAUGGUUCUUGAGCUGGAACCAGGUGUUACUGUGGUAUAUGAGCAAGAGGAGGAGACACCCCCUGGAUAUGAUGAAUUGAGAACUUUGGUUAUGUCUGAACAUGGAAUUGACGGGCCUGCUCCAGACAAUUUGCAUGGUCAGGAUUUAAUCUGCACAGAUGAGCAUGGACUUGUACCUUGUACCGAAUCUUCUGAUUUUAACGCAUCUGAAGAUAGUGAAGAAGCACCUAUUGCUCUUAGUUGUGGUGCUCCUUCUACAUUUGAUGAAAAACUUGAUUCUAUUUUAAGUCAGCCAUAUGACCAAAAUGAAUACCAAGAGCUUAUGAGAAAAGCCACUGACCAGAAGCCUGUGAGCAGACAAAGACAAUUGCGAAGUGGAUCCAAGCGCUAUGCCACAGGAUUCAUUGGACUGUCGUAUCUUGAUCACUACCCAGAUCUGGCCAAGCAAAUCGACACUGCUGACACUGAUGAGAGACGACUGAACCUCCUGCGAAAAUUCUUCUUCUGGCUGGAGAACUUAUGCCAUGAUGGAGCACACAUGCCAUGGAUCCCCAAGGCGCUGGCCUGCAAUCCCAUCGCAACAGACGACUGACCGAGAACCGGAACAGAUACGGGUUGUCCAAGAUGCCACAAGACUGAAGGAGAAACAGGCAGGGUGCACAUCGAUGCAGCAACUCCUGGAUCGGUGGCCAUGUAGAUAUGUCAAGCAUGUACUUUUGUUGCGCAGCUGCAAAUGGGCGCUAGGCCAACCGAAUGGAGAUGGUUGUUGUAUGCCGGUUGCGGUGAAGCAUCAGAUUAUUUUUCUUCUUUUGUUAUGGGGAGCAUCACACUAUCUUGCGGUGCUUGCUCUUAUGGGAGGAUGAGAUGCGACGGAAGGAAGGGAAUCACUGGCCAAGAUUGCUGAGGCGACUGUCGGCCCACUGUAUGAUCUAGUGCCUCCUGUUAGCCACCAGAUGACCUGGACAGACCGGGUCAGCCACGGUUUCCCCACGAUCGGUGCACGCUCUACCGCACGCCUUCCUUUGGUUGUAUCAGGCUACCAUAUAUGUACCCUCUGUUGUACUCGGAAUCAAUCAAGGAAACCAUUCUGU